UACGUAGGGACCGAGCGUUGUCCGGAAUCAUUGGGCGUAAAGAGCGUGUAGGCGGCCAAUUAAGUCCUGCGUGAAAUCUCGGGGCUCAACCCCGAGCGGUCGUGGGAAACUGGUUGGCUAGAGUGCGGGAGAGGAGAGUGGAAUUCCUGGUGUAGCGGUGAAAUGCGCAGAUAUCAGGAAGAACACCAAUGGCGAAAGCAGCUUUCUGGGACGGUACUGACGCUGAGACGCGAAAGCGUGGGGAGCGAACAGG
rnacentral:rRNA from 1 species